UGUUCUCGAUGUCGUCGAUGAUGUAUUUAUUUUUUAUAUUUUUUUUUUCUGGCCCACCGGAUCUUGUAACGUACACCUUGUUGGUUGAAAAAUGAAGAGGAGAUUUUGUUAUCUCGCCUGCAUCUUGCAUCGAAUAGUCAUCCGUCGAACUUCUUUAUUCUGCUUUCUUCUCUCUUCCUCCUUUUCUUCUUUUCUUUUUCACGUCGUCCUGAGGUCA
rnacentral:lncRNA from 1 species